AAAAGAGCACAUUAAUGUCUACAAAAACAAAAACACGGAGCAAAAUGAAGGCUAGAAUACUGGUGAUUGUGGUCUCUUUUGGUCCCACUUUAAGUGACUUUUCCAGUCUAGCCCUGAUAUUUGCAUAUCCAGUGCACUAACCUAGAGGUGGCUGGACCCUCCUUUCCACAUAUGUUUGUGUAGUGUUGGUCUUUUUUUUCAGGCCCCUUAUAUACAAUGAAGGCAACACAUAAAGAUUGUUUCCACCAACUUGUUCAGAUUUUAAAAUUUUUGACAGUCAGGAUGGAGCACAAACCUUACGACUGAAUAAAUACACUAGACAACACACUGAACGGCUGGCCAGUAACCACCGGAGACAAACCUGCAUAUCGGUAUCGGUACUCGAUACCUUAAAGGUAACAUCUCCAACGAUACCUGCAUUCAGCGCCGCCGCUCCCACCACGCGCAUCACGCACUGUGCGUAGGGCACCAAGUGCUGAGGGGGCACCAAAAAUAGCCUAAUGAAUUUUUUUUUUAAAUGCCGGUAUUAUUUCAUUAGCCUAUAGAAAUAUUAGGCACAUUUUAGCCAUGUAUAUGUAACAAAAAAGGGGGAACAAGAAAGAUAUUUAACAAUUGCUCUAGUCUAGUCCCCCCCCCCGCCCGUGCCGGAUGGUCCGUUCCGGUUGUUCGCGCGGGCGCCUGCCUGACGCAGUUUGACAGAUUUGAGCAUGGCUCCGAAAAGACAGCAGGAGUCGGGUGCUGAGAAACGAAAGAAGAAGAAACUGCGAGAUGAUGCCCGUGCAUCACUUUCAGGGGCAAUGCUGAGAUACGUACGAGGAGGAGCAGACUGAAGACAAGAAGACUGACUAUUCUUGUUUGUACUUAUUGAUGAUUAUUUAAUUUAAUUUAUUCAAAGUGACAUUGAAUUUGCAAAAAAAGUCUGGAUUAUUUUGAUAUUUUUUUAUUUUGCUAUUCUGUUUACUGUUUACAAAGUCAGCAAAGCUGUGAAGAUUUUACUUUCUCUUUUUAGUGUUCUUAAGUUUUAUACUGUGAUGCUGCUAUUGUGUGUUAUUGGUAUUGAGUUAUGUUUGGUAAUAAAAAGUUAAACUGGCAAAAA